AAUUACACAGAACAACGUCAUGUGUAAUCGGGGGCUGUUCUUUUGAAAUAUGUCGUUUUUGAUAAUUUCCUUUAUUGUGAGGUUCAGUCCGCCCACACUAGUCACCGCUCAACUCCAUCUUAAAUAGAGGAGUUGGAGUUUGAUUGGCUACAUCUAAAUAAAUAGAUUCUCAAUUGCUGAAAAAUUCUGUAAAGAUAGCUAAAGCGCUCUACAUGUAUAUCACCUCUAAAUAAUUUCACAAAUGCAAAAUGUACGCUAUUUUAACCGUUUUUUACACACUUGGAUGCGACUGUAUUUUUCAGUGACAACACGUUCUAACGUUACCUACAUUUAGGACACACAGAGGUCCUCGUGUUGGAGGAGAAGGCCAACUUCUCAGGAGACUGUAUUCUGGGGAGGGAACUGCCAUGUUUGAAGAUCUCUAUGACAAUGUGAAAUCUCUGCAAAUCCUGUUGGACUCACAGGCUGACCUAAUAUACCCAACUCUGAAACACUGAAUGGUAUUAUUGAAUGAAAAGUGUUCAAAAAAAGCAUGGAUAUCAUCCAUUAGAAAAGACACAUUACAUUACAUACAUUCUACUGUCAGUCACACCUUCAAAUGGCAAGUUCACAUUAGCUACAGUGCCUUCAGAAAGUAUUCACACCCCUUGACUUUUUCUACAUUUUGUUGUGUUACAUCCUGAAUGUAAAAUGCAUUACAUUGAGAUGUGUCACUGGCCUAUACACAAUACCCCAUAAUGUCAAGGUGGAAUUAUGUUUGUAGACAUUUUUACAAAUGUAUUCCAGAUGAAUGCUGAAGUGUCUUGAGUCAAUAAGUAUUCAACCCCUUUGUUAUGGCAAGAAGUAAAGAUGUGCUUUAACACGCCACAUAA